AGAUACUCCAACGGCUCAAACUGGAGACGUUCCUGCUGUAAGGUGAAAGCACCAACCACUCUUUCACCGUGUGGCCUCGUAAAAAAAACAGCCCAUGUGAAUUUUAAACCCCGGCUUUUAGUGACAUCUUUAAAUGCCCCCAGCCUCCAAUAUCACAGCAGACUGUAAUCAAUCAGGGUUGAAGCCCGCUUUGUCAGUUAAGUUUAAGAAUCAAGGCCGCUUGUUGUUUGUGACACAGCGCGGGGGCUUCCCUCAAACUGCUGCACGCUCCAAUAAAUCCACUCUGAUUUAUUUAUUUAUCCCUUUUGACUGAUUACAUGGAUGUAAAUAUUCAGCAGUAAAAUAUACGGUGCUGCUGACAGAGUGUGUGUUGCAGGCACCACCAUGCUGUCCUGUAGGGUUAGAGUUGCGCUGCCACUCACAGUUAUUUAUUAGGCUACAUAUUCACUCUCUAUCCAUCACUGUAUUGCCACCCGGCCCGGUCACAUCUCUUUAUGUUUAUUAUAGUGUCCCACCUUCCUGAGGAGGAUGAUUGACGUGUGGGGAGAAGAGCGAGGUGGGACUUGCGCUCUGCGUCUUCUCCAAUCAUGGCUCGAGGGGCGGAGGCUUUUUUUUCUCCAUCCAUACUCUGAUUAUGAGUCAGUAACCAGACAUAAGCUAAACAAUAACACUUGGUGCUGACUUCCACUCCAAAGCCUCCACUGUGGGCAACUUGAGUCUGCGCUAGAAGCCUCUGAGCUCCAGAAUCUCCGCGGAGCACAGGAGUGGCUGCAGAGCCAAAAGCAGCGAUUCAGAUCAGAUUUCACCUAAACCAGCUGCGAGAGAGACACCAAGAGACAGUGAGAGAGAGAGGGUUUGUCUGAGUCUCUCCCUCCUCCCAAAUCCAGAAAAGCUUACCAAGGAAAAAGGAGGAGUGCCGGAGCUGAGAGAGAAGGAGAGACGGAGAGAGAGAGAGAGAGAGGCGCAGAGGAAUCCGGAGGAAUUCCACUGGAUAUUUUCUCCGCUUUCUUUCAAAACCACCGCCUCAGUGUCAAUCUAAUAAACAGAAACCAAAAGAAAGUUGGA